GACAGAGGUGCCAAGCGUUAGGCGGAAUCACUGGGCUUAAAGCGUGUGUAGGCGGAUUUGUAAGUACCUUGUGAAAUCCCACGGCUCAACCGUGGAACUGCUCGGUAUACUGCUUAUCUUGAGCCACUUAGGGGCUACCGGAACAAAUGGUGGAGCGGUGAAAUGCGUAGAUAUCACUUGGAACGCCAAUGGUGAAAACAGGUAGCUGGGAGUGUGCUGACGCUGAGACACGAAAGCCAGGGGAGCGAACGGG
rnacentral:rRNA from 1 species